GACGAACGCUGGCGGCGUGCUUAACACAUGCAAGUCGAACGGAAAGGCCCUGCUUUUGUUGGGUGCUCGAGUGGCGAACGGGUGAGUAACACGUGAGUAACCUGCCCUUGACUUUGGGAUAACUUCAGGAAACUGGGGCUAAUACCGGAUAGGAGCUCCUGCAGCAUGGGGGGGGAUGGAACGUUUAGGCGGUUGGGGAUGGACUCGCGGCUUAUCAGCUUGUUGGUUGGGUAGUGGCUUACCAAGGCUUUGACGGGUAGCCGGCCUGAGCGGGUGACCGGCCACAUUGCGCCUGAGAGACGGCCCAGUCGCCUACGGGAGGCAGCAGUGGGGAAUAUUGCACAAUGGGCGGAAGCCUGAUGCAGCAACGCCGCGUGCGGGAUGACGGCCUUCGGGUUGUAAACCGCUUUCGCCUGUGACGAAGCGUGAAUGACGGUAAUGGGUAAAGAAGCACCGGCUAACUACGUG
rnacentral:rRNA from 1 species